UAGAGUUUGAUCAUGGCUCAGGACGAACGCUGGCGGCGUGCCUAAUACAUGCAAGUCGAACGCGUCUCCGUUGAUGAUUUCAGGUGCUUGCACCUGAAAGAUUUAACAUUGAGACGAGUGGCGAACUGGUGAGUAACACGUGGGUAACCUGCCCUUGAAGUAGGGGAUAACACUUGGAAACAGGUGCUAAUACCGUAUAACAACCAAAACCACCUGGUUUUGGUUUAAAAGACGGCUUCGGCUGUCACUUUAGGAUGGACCCGCGGCGUAUUAGCUUGUUGGUAAGGUAACGGCUUACCAAGGCGAUGAUACGUAGCCGACCUGAGAGGGUAAUCGGCCACAUUGGGACUGAGACACGGCCCAAACUCCUACGGGAGGCAGCAGUAGGGAAUCUUCCACAAUGGACGAAAGUCUGAUGGAGCAACGCCGCGUGAGUGAUGAAGGGUUUCGGCUCGUAAAACUCUGUUGUUGGAGAAGAACAGGUGUCAGAGUAACUGUUGACAUCUUGACGGUAUCCAACCAGAAAGCCACGGCUAACUACGUGCCAGCAGCCGCGGUAAUACGUAGGUGGCAAGCGUUGUCCGGAUUUAUUGGGCGUAAAGCGAGCGCAGGCGGUUUUUUAGGUCUGAUGUGAAAGCCUUCGGCUUAACCGGAGAAGUGCAUCGGAAACCGGGAGACUUGAGUGCAGAAGAGGACAGUGGAACUCCAUGUGUAGCGGUGAAAUGCGUAGAUAUAUGGAAGAACACCAGUGGCGAAGGCGGCUGUCUGGUCUGUAACUGACGCUGANGCUCGAAAGCAUGGGUAGCGAACAGGAUUAGAUACCCUGGUAGUCCAUGCCGUAAACGAUGAGUGCUAAGUGNUUGGAGGGUUUCCCGCCCUUCAGUGCUGCAGCUAACGCAUUAAGCACUCCGCCNNGGGGAGUACNANCCGCNAGGUUGAAC
rnacentral:rRNA from 2 species